rnacentral:tRNA from 1 species
GUCUGAGUGGCGAAAUCGGCAGACGCACAGGACUUAAAAUCCUGAGUCUCGUAAGGGACGUGCGGGUUCAAGUCCCGCCUCAGACA